UACGGAGGGUGCAAGCGUUAUCCGGAUUCACUGGGUUUAAAGGGUGCGUAGGCGGCCCGGUAAGUCAGUGGUGAAAGCCUCCAGCUCAACUGGAGAACUGCCAUUGAUACUGCCGGGCUUGAGUACAGACGAGGUUGGCGGAAUUGAUAGUGUAGCGGUGAAAUGCAUAGAUACUAUCAAGAACUCCGAUUGCGUAGGCAGCUAACUAGGCUGUAACUGACGCUGAGGCACGAAAGCGUGGGGAGCGAACAGG
rnacentral:rRNA from 1 species